rnacentral:rRNA from 1 species
ACGCACGCUGGCGGCGUGCCUCAUACCUGCCAGUAGAACGCACAGUUUAUACCGUAGCUUGCUACACCAUAAACUGUGAGUUGCGAACGGGUGAGUAACGCGUAGGUAACCUGCCUGGUAGCGGGGGAUAACUAUUGGAAACGAUAGCUAAUACCGCAUAAUAUUGAUUAUUGCAUGAUAAUUGAUUGAAAGAUGCUAUUGCAUCACUACCAGAUGGACCUGCGUUGUAUUAGCUAGUAGGUGAGGUAACGGCUCACCUAGGCGACGAUACAUAGCCGACCUGAGAGGGUGCUCGGCCACACUGGGACUGAGACACGGCCCAGACUCCUACGGGAGGCAGCAGUAGGGAAUCUUCGGCAAUGGACGAAAGUCUGACCGAGCAACGCCGCGUGAGUGAAGAAGGUUUUCGGAUCGUAAAGCUCUGUUGUAAGAGAAGAACGGGUGUGAGAGUGGAAAGUUCACACUGUGACGGUAUCUUACCAGAAAGGGACGGCUAACUACGUG